rnacentral:rRNA from 1 species
AACGUCGCAAGACCAAAGAGGGGGACCUUCGGGCCUCUUGCCAUCAGAUGUGCCCAGAUGGGAUUAGCUUGUUGGUGAGGUAACGGCUCACCAAGGCGACGAUCCCUAGCUGGUCUGAGAGGAUGACCAGCCACACUGGAACUGAGACACGGUCCAGACUCCUACGGGAGGCAGCAGUGGGGAAUAUUGCACAAUGGGCGCAAGCCUGAUGCAGCCAUGCCGCGUGUAUGAAGAAGGCCUUCGGGUUGUAAAGUACUUUCAGCGGGGAGGAAGGUGUUGUGGUUAAUAACCGCAGCAAUUGACGUUACCCGCAGAAGAAGCACCGGCUAACUCCGUGCCAGCAGCCGCGGUAAUACGGAGGGUGCAAGCGUUAAUCGGAAUUACUGGGCGUAAAGCGCACGCAGGCGGUCUGUCAAGUCGGAUGUGAAAUCCCCGGGCUCAACCUGGGAACUGCAUUCGAAACUGGCAGGCUUGAGUCUUGUAGAGGGGGGUAGAAUUCCAGGUGUAGCGGUGAAAUGCGUAGAGAUCUGGAGGAAUACCGGUGGCGAAGGCGGCCCCCUGGACAAAGACUGACGCUCAGGUGCGAAAGCGUGGG